rnacentral:rRNA from 1 species
UACGGAGGGUGCAAGCAUUAAUCGGAUUUAUUGGGCGUAAAGGGCGCGUAGGCGGGCUCGCAAGUCAGAUGUGAAAUUCCGGGGCUCAACCCCGGAGCUGCAUUUGAAACUGCGAGUCUAUAGAGGGAUGACGGAGAAAAUGGAAUUCCACGUGUAGCGGUGAAAUGCGUAGAUAUGUGGAAGAACACCAGUGGCGAAAGCGGUUUUCUAGUUAUCACCUGACGCUGAGGCGCGAGAGCAAGGGGAGCAAACAGG